rnacentral:rRNA from 1 species
UACGUAGGGGGCAAGCGUUAUCCGGAUUUACUGGGUGUAGGGGGCGCAGACGGCAGCGCAAGCCAGGAGUGAAAGCCCGGGGCCCAACCCCGGGACUGCUCUUGGAACUGCGCGGCUGGAGUGCAGGAGGGGCAGGCGGAAUUCCUGGUGUAGCGGUGAAAUGCGUAGAUAUCAGGAGGAACACCGGUGGCGAAGGCGGCCUGCUGGACUGCGACUGACGUUGAGGCCCGAAAGCGUGGGGAGCAAACAGG